AGCAAACGUUGAGCUCCCUGAAAGGGCUCCAGGGAACAGUAUGUAUGAAAUUAUUUUGGAGAAUCCAAUAAAAAUUUUAAUCAGGUCAACAUCAUUACAGGGGAGGAAAGUGAUGGAGCUUUCUUGAUGCAGGGGAAAAAGGUGAAGGAAAAAGCCAAGUAAGCACAUCGCUGUAGAAAAGAGACAGAGCUCCACGCCUGGGUGCCACGCAGUCCCUCCCCAUCCCAUCUCCAAGGAGCACUGUUGCUUUCAGACACGCAGGGCUGUUCACUGUUGGCAGCAUGCACACGUGCCUUGUGCACAGCCACAGCCCACGGCACAUGCACCAGCUCAAGGAUGGAGGUGCAUCUUUGGAGAUGCAGGCGAAGCUCUGACACCUUCAGGAGAACAUCCUCCUCUGCUUGUACUUUUUUCCUCUGCUCUGUCAAAACCUUCCUCUGACCCCAAAGGUUUCUCCGUUACAGAGCCCCGGGGCCGUAUGUUCAGAUACCAUCUCCACGCCGUGGGUGGUAAAGCAGAGGGACCAGCAGUUAUGUG
ensembl:lncRNA